GUGAUAUCGCAGUGUCUGCAACACUGCGACAACGUUGAAACAACUCAACAACUCUGUAGAGAAACAGCAACGGUUGGGAAAUCCAAGCAAUAUUUGUGGUUUUUAACGCCGCAAGGAAUGACCUGAUACAGGAAAGCAAAGAUGCGAGAUCGACUGCCAUUACCGAUGCACCUGAGGCUACGAACUUUAUUUACUCUGCCCAGGAGUCAACACAGGGGAUUGACA